rnacentral:rRNA from 1 species
UUCCUCCUACGGGGCGCAGCAGUGAGGAAUAUUGGUCAAUGGACGAGAGUCUGAGCCAGCCAAGUAGCGUGAAGGAUGACUGCCCUAUGGGUUGUAAACUUCUUUUAUAUGGGAAUAAAAUGUUCCACGUGUGGGAUUUUGUAUGUACCAUAUGAAUAAGGAUCGGCUAACUCCGUGCCAGCAGCCGCGGUAAUACGGAGGAUCCGAGCGUUAUCCGGAUUUAUUGGGUUUAAAGGGAGCGUAGGUGGAUUGUUAAGUCAGUGGUAAAAUCGCGGGGCUCAACCUCGCUCCGCCGUUGAAACUGG